CUUUAAUACAAUAAUUAAACAAAAAUAAAAUUGAACUGUUCAAUAAACAUUUGAGAAUCUCUCCAUUCCACUCAUUCAGUACAUAACAUAGUCAUCGAAUUUCUUUGGAAGUGAGCGAUGGCGAUCCGGUCGACUAAUUGAAUCGGAUGAUGAGAAAUUUUGUUCCUUUUCUUGAGAGUCAAUAUAUGUUUCCUCUUAUGAGUUCAUUUCAAAGUUAUCGUUACUAAAAUUCAUGUCCGGACUGUUUGUACUAAGAGGAUGUUUAACAUUUUCUAAUUGAGUAAUGUGAUGCGGUAUUACUGACGGCAAUGUUGGAAGGUCGGGUAUAGCUUUAGGAAUUACCAGCACAGAUGGAGGUGAGGAGCUGUCGGUCACUCUUUCAUCGUCGUCGUCAUCGGAAUGCGACAGUAGACAUUUUAUUUACAUUUUUGGGACGGCCUAAUUCUAUAGUGAUGCGUUGUCUAGCUAACAGUUCGUCUUUUACUAAAGUUUUAAAACCAGAUGCAGGGUCGGUCCUGAUAACAGCAUAAGGGCCGUCUAGAGGGUGGACUUCAGCAAGAAGUUGAAUAAUUGCAUCUCGUAAAUCGUGAUGGCGCUCAGUAUCUAACAGUUUG
rnacentral:lncRNA from 1 species